rnacentral:rRNA from 1 species
CAGUAGCCACGGUAAUACGUAGGGGGCGAGCGUUGUCCGGAAUUACUGGGCGUAAAGGGUUCGCAGGCGGCAUGACAAGUCCGAUGUAAAAGGCGAAAGCUCAACUUUCGUAAGCAUCGGAAACUGUCAAGCUUGAGUGAAGGAGAGGCAAGUGGAAUUCCUAGUGUAGCGGUGGAAUGCGUAGAUAUUAGGAGGAAUACCGGUGGCGAAGGCGACUUGCUGGACUUCAACUGACGCUGAGGAACGAAAGCGUGGGUAGCAAACAGGAUUAGAUACCCGAGUAGUCCCUGUCUCUUAUACC